rnacentral:ncRNA from 1 species
CCACGUCGUAUGCCGGUAGAGUCCGGUUUUCCGACGUCGGCGGGCGCGGGAAUCCGGUGGGAAUCCGGAACGGUCGCGCCACUGUGACUGUCCUCAUCGCGGACAGAAGUCAGACCUCCCCCGCCGCACAACACUGGA